rnacentral:rRNA from 1 species
UACGGGGGGGGCAAGCGUUGUUCGGAAUUACUGGGCGUAAAGGGCUCGUAGGUGGCCAACUAAGUCAGACGUGAAAUCCCCGUACGCGUUAACCGGGACUGCGUCUGAUGACGUGACGCUGGAGUUUGGGAGAGGCAUGCGGAAUUCCUGGUGUAGCGGUGAAAUGCGUAGAUAUCAGGAGGAACACCUGCGGUGUAGACAGCAUGCUGGACCAUUUCUGACGCUGAGGCACGAAAGCGUGGGGAUCAAACAGG